rnacentral:sRNA from 1 species
CAAUACUUUGGCCACCUGAUGCAAAGAGACGACUGAAAGGAGAAGACCUUGAUGCAGGGAAAGCAGGAGGGCAAGAGAAGAGGACAACAGAAGAUGAGAUGGUUGGAUGGUAUCACAGGAUUCAAGGUAUAUGAGUCUGACCAAACUCAGGGAGACAGUGAAGGACAGGGAAUCCUAGUGUACUGCAGUUCAUGGGGUCCCACAGAGUCAUAGAUAUGACUUAUCAACUGAAUAACAACUCGACCAAAGAGCUCCUAGUCUAAUCUGUAAUUAUCCUGAAAAGUAAUGGGAUUCACAUGCUAGAGAGUUCCUUGGAUAAAAGGCCAUGAACCCAGCUUAGUACUCAGGACUACUACACAAAAGAAAAUAGCAAAGAAAAGAAGACGAUAAGUUAAAAAUUGGCCAUGAAAACACACUUCUAAUGUAAGGAAAAAUAUGAAGUUCAAGGACCAGAUUAUCUUUAGCCACACAUCAUGUUCCAAAUAAUAAAUUAUUUGUGCUUGUGUGUUAGUGUGUGUGUAUGUGUGUGUGUGUUGUGUG